rnacentral:ncRNA from 1 species
GUGAGCCGUAUGAUGGGCAACUAUCUCCUACGGUUCGGAGAGGACUCAGCUGUUAGUUAUUCGGC